UGAUUAUACUUAUGUUAUUUUAUUUGACUAUAACUUCUGUUUGGUAUAUCCUCGAUCUUGUAUGUGAACUUCACAUGCUACAAUUAUUUCAGAAACAAAAAAAAAAUACAAGUGUCCGAAGCAAGGUUAAUUCCAUAUGCAACUGUGUGUUAUUCUGCAGCUCAGUGUCACACUUAACUGUCCUCUGUUUUUCUGCAGAACGCUUCUGGUUAUACCAUUUUAUAUUUAUAAUAUCUUAGUUUUAGUAUCUUCCUCUCACUCUUCACUGAGUUUAUAAGUAACUUUGUGGUGCAGUCAAAUUUGAUACAAAUCAUUACAACCACCAUGCCUCCCCG
rnacentral:lncRNA from 1 species